CCAGAUCUACGUCUCCUUCUUUGAUGGCAUUCCUUGAGGCAGGACCACACUGAUAAAUUCCUAUGGUAUCAAGAAAGUAUACCUUAGAACUAAUCAAUGGUUUUAAACACUACUCCUGGAAUGAAAUCUGUGUACCUCCACUUUCUUCUUGGGGAGUUGCAUCCAGAAUUUGCCAUCCGCUGUAUGAAGGACCCAAGUCCUUGCGGGAAAACCAGCUUUCAUUCCAGACAUGGAAAUUCCUACAUUCAAGAAUAAAUAAAGUAAGCCCAUGAUUAUGUGGUGAAUGUUCUAUCCCCAUACUACAAAAGUGCAGGUCAAGUGGAGAAGCUGAAAAUACUAAUCAAACUACAAGUAAAUCAGUUCUUUCAGGGGAAUGCUGAUAUAUUCGUACCUGAAGACCAAGGGUUGAAGAGCAAAACAAAAGUGCCAAGG